rnacentral:rRNA from 1 species
UGUAAGCGUAUACCAAAGUUGUUGCAGUUAAAAAGCUCGUAGUUGGAUUUCUGGUGGGAGCGAUCGGUCUGGCGCUUAGCGCGAGUACUUGCAUCGUCUCCGGCCAUCCUUGGGGAGAGUCUGUCUGGCAUUAGGUCGUCGGGCAGAGGAUCCUCAUCGUUUACUGUGAAAAAAUUAGAGUGUUCAAAGCAGGCUUAUGCCGUUGAAUAUAUUAGCAUGGAAUAAUAAGAUAGGACUUUGGUACUAUUUUGUUGGUUUGCGCACCAAAGUAAUGAUUAAUAGGGACAGUUGGGGGUAUUCGUAUUCCGUUGUCAGAGGUGAAAUUCUUGGAUUUACGGAAGACGAACUACUGCGAAAGCAUUUACCAAGGAUGUUUUCAUUAA